AUGGCCAUAUCUCAUUGAGACACUGGUUCUCAUCCAAUCACUUAAGUUAAGCAACAUUGAGCCUGGUCAGUACCUAGAUGGGUGACCACUUAGAAAUAACAUGUGCU